CCUGUUCACCGGACGUGCUACCUGUCCCAGACCUAUUAUUUGACCAUGCUGGGAAAACCCGUAGAAGCCUUAAGACACGGAUCAGUGAGCACCGCAGCAACAUACCGACAGGAAGUGAUGUCACCGAGUAAUGCCUAUGUAUAUUAGGACCUUCCACCCCCACCUGGGAUAUGGAUGCCUGAUGCAGACCUAAGGGUCAAAAUGUUGUUAUAAAUAAAUAUCACCUGGGAGUAUGA